CCUCUCCAUCCACAUUGAUCAGGUCACAUUUAACCACCCAUAUUAAUCAGGUCACAGCUCACCACGCAUAUUAAUCAGGUCACACCUCACCACCCAUAUUAGUCAGGUCACACCUGACCACCCAUAUUGAUCAGGUUACACCUCACCACCCAUAUUGAUCAGGUCACACCUCACCACCCAUAUUGAUCAGGUCACAUAUAACCACCCAUAUUGAUCAGGUCACAUAUUACCACCCAUAUUGAUCAGGUCACACCUCACCACCCAUAUUGAUCGGGUCACAUCUCGCCAACUCAUAUUGAUCAGGUCACACUUCACCACCCAUAUUGGUCCAGUCACACCCCACCACCCAUAUUGAUCAGGUCACAUCUCACCCCCCAUAUUGAUCAGGUAACACCUCAACACCCAUGUUAAUCAGGUCAUACCUCACCACCAAUAUUGGUCCGGUCACACCUCACGAUCCACAUUAAUCAGGUCACAUCCCCGACCCAUAUUAAUCAGGUCAUACCUCACCACCCAUAUUGGUCUAGUCACAUCUCACCACCCAUAUUGAUCAGGUCACAUAUCACCCCCCAUAUUGAUCAGGUCACACCUCACCACCCAUAUUAGUCAGGUCACACCUCACCACCCACAUCAAUCAGUACACACCUCACCACCCAUAUUAAUCAGGUCACACCUCACCAUCACAUCAAUCAGGACACACCUCACCACCCAUAUUAAUCAGGUCACACCUCACCAUCAUAUCAAUCAGGACACACCUCACCACCCAUAUUAAUAAGGUCACACCUCCCCACCCAUAUUGAUCAGGUAUCCCCUCACCAUCUUAUCAAUCAGGUCACACCUCACCACCCAUAUUGAUCAGGUCACACUUCAGCAUCCACAUUAAUCAUGUCACAGCUCAACACCCAUAUUGGUCCAGUCACACCUCACCACCCAUAUUAAUAAGAUCACACCACACCACCCAUAUUGAUCAGGUCACACCUCACCAUCCACAAUGGUCCACUCACACCUCACCACCCAUAUUAAUCAGGUCAAACCUCACCACUCAUAUUAAUCAGGUCACAUCUCACCACCCAUAUCGAUCAGGUCACACCUCACCACCCAUAUUAAUCAGGUUACACCUCGCCACACAUAUUAAUCAGGUCGCACCUCACCACCCAUAUUGAUCAGGUCACAUCUCACCCCCCAUAUUGAUCAGGUCACACCUCACCACCCAUAUUAAUCAGGUCACACCUCACCAUCAUAUCAAUCAGGACACACCUCACCACCCAUAUUAAUCAGGUCACACCUCCCCACCCAUAUUGAUCAGGUAUCCCCUCACCAUCUUAUAAAUCAGGUCACACCUCACCACCCAUAUUGAUCAGGUCACACUUCAGCAUCCACAUUUAUCAUGUCACAGCUCACCACCCAUAUUGGUCCAGUCACACCUCACCACCCAUAUUGAUCAGGUCACACCUCACCACCCAUA
ensembl:lncRNA